AUGAGUUAAGUAUAAACCCCUUUACAAGUAUCAAUUGGAGGGCAAGUCUGGUGCCAGCAGCCGCGGUAAUUCCAGCUCCAAUAGCGUAUAUUAAAGUUGUUGCAGUUAAAAAGCUCGUAGUUGGAUUUCUGUUAAUAAUUUAUAUAAUAUUUUAACGAUAUUAUAUAAUAUUAACAUAAUUCAUAUUACUAUUUGAAUAGUAUAUGAAAUUUUACUUUGAGAAAAUUAGAGUGCUUAAAGCAGGCAUUUGCCUUGAAUACUCCAGCAUGGAAUAAUAUAAAAGAUUUUUAUCUUUUUUAUUGGUUCUAAGAUAAAAAUAAUGAUUAAUAGGGACAGUUGGGGGCAUUUGUAUUUAACAGUCAGAGGUGAAAUUCUUAGAUUUGUUAAAGACAAACUAAUGCGAAAGCAUUUGCCAAGGAUGUUUUCAUUAAUCAAGAACGAAAGUUAGGGGAUCGAAGACGAUCAGAUACCGUCGUAGU
rnacentral:rRNA from 1 species